CAACUGCGAUAACUAGUGCGAACUGCAGAUAUUUUGAGCACUAAGAUUUCGAAUGCACAUUGCGCCAUUGGAUUCACAUCCUUUGGCACAUCUGGUUCAGGGUUGUAAAUAAAAAACGAAUGCCUCUUUCGUUUUCAAUGAUCGCUGGAUCACCUGGCGCAGUCUUCAGCUGUCUUCUGCUGAUGAGCUCGUCGCGGUGUUCUUGUGUGUUUGAUCGAAUAUGUAAAGGUGGUUAGUUAGUGCGUUUGGUGGUGGAUCACUGCUUGUUUCGAUCUGUCCCAUUCGCAUCGCUAUGCUUCCACGUUACAUUCAUUUUGCAACCUGAACUCAGGUGUGAGUACCCGCUGAACUUAA
rnacentral:misc_RNA from 1 species